rnacentral:rRNA from 1 species
AAUAGAUACCCCGGUAGUCCACGCCGUAAACGAUGGAUGCUAGCUAUUGGGGGGAAUCGACCCCCUCCGAAGCGAAGCUAACGCGUUAAGCAUCCCGCCUGAGUAGUACGAGCGCAAGCUUAAAACUCAAAGGAAUUGACGGGGACCCGCACAAGCGGUGGAGCGUGUGGUUUAAUUCGAUGGUAAACGAAGAACCUUACCAAGGUUUGACAUCCCGGUAGCCGUCCUCCGAAAGGAGAAUUUCAUUUAGUUGGACCGGUGACAGGUGAUGCAUGGCCGUCGUCAGCUCGUGUCGUGAGAUGUUGGGUUAAGUCCCGCAACGAGCGCAACCCUUAUGAUUUAGUUGGAUUUUUCUAAACAGACUGCCCUGGUAACAGGGAGGAAGGAGGGGAUGAUGUCAGGUCAGUAUUUCCCUUACACCUUGGGCGACACACGCGCUACAAUGGCCGGUACAAUGGGCAGCUAAGCCGCGAGGUGGAGCAAAUCCCAUCAAAGCCGGUCCCAGUUCGGAUUGCAGGCUGAAACCCGCCUGCAUGAAGCCGGAAUCGCUAGUAACC